AUAUAGCUUAGUGGCACAGCACUUGCCUGGCAAGCACAAGGCCCUGAGUUUGAUUCUCGGUAU
rnacentral:tRNA from 1 species